rnacentral:rRNA from 1 species
CACGUAGGGCGCAAGCGUUGUCCGGAAUUAUUGGGCGUAAAGAGCUCGUAGGCGGUCUGUUGCGUCCGCUGUGAAAACCUGGGGCUCAACCCCGGGCCUGCAGCCGAUACGGGCGGACUAGAAUUCGGUAGGGGAGACUGGAAUUCCUGGUGUAGCGGUGAAAUGCGCAGAUAUCAGGAGGAACACCGGUGGCGAAGGCGGGUCUCUGGGCCGAUAUUGACGCUGAGGAGCGAAAGCGUGGGGAGCGAACAGG